rnacentral:rRNA from 1 species
GAUGAACGCUGGCGGCGUGCCUAAUACAUGCAAGUCGAGCGAACGGACGAGAAGCUUGCUUUUCUGAUGUUAGCGGCGGACGGGUGAGUAACACGUGGAUAACCUACCUAUAAGACUGGGAUAACUUCGGGAAACCGGAGCUAAUACCGGAUAAUAUUUUGAACCGCAUGGUUCAAAAGUGAAAGACGGUCUUGCUGUCACUUAUAGAUGGAUCCGCGCUGCAUUAGCUAGUUGGUAAGGUAACGGCUUACCAAGGCAACGAUGCAUAGCCGACCUGAGAGGGGGAUAGGCGACACUGGAACGGAGACACGGACAAGACGCCUGCGGGAGGCAGCAGUCGGCAAUCGGCCGCAAUGGGCGAAAGCCUGACGGAGCAAGGGCGCGUGAGUGAUGAAGGUCUUCGGAUCGUAAAACUCUGUUAUUAGGGAAGAACAUAUGUGUAAGUAACUGAGCACAGCUUGACGGUACUUAAUCAGAAAGCCACGGCUAACUACGUG